rnacentral:lncRNA from 1 species
CUUUGGGAGGCCGAGGUGGGCGGAUCACCUGAGGUCAGGAGUUCGAGACCAGCCUGGCCGACAUGGUGAAACCUUGUCUCUACUAAAAAUACAAAAAUUAACUGGGUGUGGUGGUGGGAGCCUGUAGUCCCAGCUGCUUGGGAGGCUGAGGCAGGAGAAUCACUUGAACCCGGGAGGCAGAGGUUGCAGUGAGCCAAGAUCGUUCCACUGCACUCCAGACUGGUGACAGAGCGAGACUCCGUCUAAAAAAAAAAAGAAAAAGAAAAAGAAAAAAUGGUAAGAAAGGCAACAGAGGUACAACAGAUUUGCUGAGAAAUCCUAUAGUUAGAAUGGGGAAGGUUUUUUGGGAAACAUGAGUUAAGGACUGGAUAUUGAAGCCUGGAAUGGAUAUGGAUUUAUGGACAGGGAAGGAUGAUCUAUAAUACAGAGAAGUAUAAUUCAACACAGAAAUUCUGAUUUCUAGGCUAUUACUGGAAUACACUAUUUCAAGGCUAUUAAUGACUACAUUUAUGUUAUUUUUCCUAAAAUAUCAGGACCUUUUAAUCUAAUGACUCAGCUCUUCUGUGUCUCUGUUUUUCUUGCACUUUGUCUUAUUGCUUUGCCAUUUAAAAAUCCAGCCAUGAAAGGAAUUUUGGAAAUUGUGUUCUUUUCCAUGUAUGUAAUUGCUCCUUAAAACUGAAAAGAUCAAUUAGGAAAUUAUUGGCUCCUUCGUACUUCUUUUACCACCUCUAUUUAUUAAUUGAUUGAAUUGGGUUCGCCAGGUUUAGCUCUUUAAUAUCAGAUCAAUAAAAGAUUAAAUGUUUAAAUUAAGUGAGCACACAUGUAACUUUCACACUCCUUGCAAUUUCUAGGAGCCACAUCCAAUCAUUCAGGAUUGUCAGUAACGGCAGCAAUCAAGGCUAGAAUCAGAGUACUUGCAACUUUUCAUUCUUUUUCCUAAACUUCAGCCUACAUUUAUGGGAAUAAUAAUGCAGCCAUACUUUCCUCAAACUCAGUUUAUAUUUUUGUUUGAAAUUAAAGCAGCUUUUUGAGACAAGAAUUAAGAUUGUUGCCCUGAUGCUAGUCAUAGUGAAUUUCUAACCCUUCUAACCCUUCUUAAAAGGAGAUGGUCGUAUUUGUUUCCUUUGGAUGCCGUAUCAAAUUACCACAAGCUGAGUGGUUCAAAAGAACAGAAAUGUACUCUCUCACAGUACUUGAUGCCAGAAGUUUGAAGUCAAGGUGUGUCUGAAGGUCAUAUUCUUUCUGAAGGCUCCAGGGAAGAAGCCUUCCUUGCCUCUUCCUAACAUCUAGUGGUUCCUAGCAAUCCUUGACCUGUGUUGGCGUGUAGCCGCCUCACUCCGGUCUCUGCCUCUGUCAUCACAUGGCUUUUUGCCCUCUGUCUCCCCUGUAUCUCUAACUCCAAAUUUCUCUCUCCUUAUAAGGACAUCAGUGGUUGAAAUUAGGGUCCACUGUAAUCCAGUGUGAUCACAUCUUAAUUAUAUCCGCAAAGACUCUAUUUGCAAAAAAAAAAAAAAAAAAAAAAAAAAAAAAAAAAAAAAAAGGGUCACAUUCACAAAUACCAGAGUUUAGGACUUCAACAUUUCUUUAUAGGAGACACAAAUCAACUCACAACAAUGGCAUUAUUGAAACUUUUUUGUAAUUUUUUAGCAUUCUAUUCUGUGGGAUACUUCCCCUCCCAGCCCAGAAAUUUAUGCCAGUUACUAAUUUCAUCAAGAUUAUUCCCCUUGCUACCGAUUGCCACCUUAUUUAAAAGUCUGCAUUAUUGUUGACCUGCCCCAAGACCUGGUUUCUUGAUACCCAGUCUUCUCUUUCUCAUGAUUUUCUCCGUGCAACUUGUUAAACUUUUACUUUCUUUCAGAAAGCACUGGGAGGCAGUUCAGAUGUACCAGGGUAGACAGGCUAGUGAUCAAGGGUGAGUCAGGGAUUUGCUGACAGGUACUAAUGGGAGUAGUCAUUGAACUAAACCUGAAGCAACAGUGAAACAAAACAAGGUUUGCAUCACUUCUAAAGAAGAUACUUAGAAUUGUUUUCUUCCUCUUGCUUCAACAACUACAUUGGAUAUAUUUAGCUGAAUGCUUUAUUUUGACUCUAAGCAAAAUCUCAUAGCAACAUCUUUUCUUUCAAAGUACCAUUAAUGUAAUUUUGAGUACAGGAAUAAGGAAAAAAGUUAGAAAAUUUCAUUGAGGAUAAUAAAUUGAGACCAAACACUACCAGAUAAUACAUCAAGAACAUUAACAUUAACAACAUCCUUUUAUGUUAUGCUACAUUCUUGUGUUAAACUAAUGUAUACCAUACAUUAUAGAUACUAAUGUAGUAGUUGCGGAAAAUAAUGACGCUCUUUGAUUCUAUCUAGCAGAACUGCAAACUCUUAAUUAUAAUAACAAAAGAUUAUGUGUUACACUCUAAGUCUUGCCUAGAAUGAUACAAGAUAUGGAUUUUGAGUUAUUUUAAGGAUUAUAAUCCUUAUAUUUAUGUUCUAGUUCAGGGGUUGAUGAUAACCUAAGGUCCAGAAUUUGGAUAGGAAAAAAAAUGUAUUUGUUUUUCCUAACUCUAACUGAUAUUUGAUAUCUCCUUCAAUUAUUAAUGUAAGCCACAAACCUCAGGGGUUAUGGCAUCAAUAGAAAUCCUAGAUUAAUUUUAAAUUAUAUCACAGGUAUUGAAUAUAUCUCAAAUAUAAUUUAUACUUAGCACUUCUUCAGAAUUAUGUUAGCUACUUAGACCUGCUGUGAUACCUUAUUUAAUGCAUUAAUAAAGAAUUCUUUUAAUAUUUUGAUAACUAUUUCUAUAUACUCAUUUUUCCUUGGAAUAUUUUUAUUUUAUGCAUUUUAAAACAAUUCUGUUGAAAAUAGUUCCUCGGGCUUCAUGGGACUGCCAAAGUGGCCCAUGACACAAAAUCGGAUAAAAAUUUCUCUGCUAGUUUUAGUACCUUCUGUUUCAUGAUGGCAAAUUAAAAGGCAGGUUCAAAUGUCAGCAUUAUAUACUACAAUUUUCUUUCUUUCUCAGUCAGACAAUUCAUUAAUCAUCUGAUAUUUUUUAUAAUACUAUACCUAACAUGGGGAUAAAUGACUGAAAAAACAGGGUUGUAAAAAUAGAAGCAUAGCAUACAUUCCUGUCCUCAAUGAUAUUCAGUCUAGUUAGUUACAUAGCAUAUGAAUUGCCAUUGUCCAUAUCAUAUCUUAAAAUAAUUCUUAUACUGUAUUUUUAUAAUGCUUAAAAAAUGUACUCAAAAUGCUGUCCUCUGUAAGAACUCAUUGAACACCUUCAACAGGGUUGUUAAAUUGGUAAAGCAAGAUCCUACUAGGUUUAUAAAUAAAGAAAAGGCUUUCCCUUAAGUAGUGAGAGAUGAAGCAAGAAAACACUCAGCUCUCCCAAACUGUAGUUCAGUGGGACUUUCAUUUCACAUCAUUUCCUUAGAAAAAUCCUACGUCAGAAAAUCUUCAGUCUUUUUCGUUGUAUAAUCUAUACAUCUCCGAAAAGUGUAAGAUGGCUUGUUAAGAAUAAAGUGUGGUUUGGUUGUGUAAGACCAACCAGAAAGGGGAAAGGGAAGAGGAAUGAUGUUGAGAUUGGGAGAGUAGUUGCUGUCUGUGAUCUUUUAUACAGUUGAUGUGUGAUAGUUGUUUGUUUGUUUGUUUGUUUUUUUAAUUCCAACCUGUUCUUAAAUGCAAAUACAAAAACUAGAGAAAGAGAUGGAAUCAAGCUAAGGUUAAACUCAAAAGUGACUUCAGUAUCAACUUGUUGGUUGUAUGUAGCCUUUCUGUCACAGAACUGUGCCCUGGGUUCUUUUUACUCAAAAAGUAUUCCAUAAAACAACCGCCUAUUGGUGCAUUACUUCACAGCCUGUUAUGAAUGAGAAUCUUGAGUCCCACCCCAGACUUAAUGAAUCAGAAUCUGCAUGUUAACAAAAUUCUCAAGUGAUUUGAAUAUACAGCAAAAUUUGAGAACCACAGAUGACUUUCAAUUCACCCAUAAUAACUGAGAAAAGACUGUAAAUUCCUACACCUUGUUCUUCCAUAAUUUAAGGAGUUUCUUGCUUUGUUUCUACCUUCAUUAAGGGAUAUGAGGCCCAUGCUAAGAAAAAUGCGUUUAAUAACUACUUUGAGUGAAAAAUCUCACUAAAUCAGGCAGUUGUUCCUAAAGAGAAUUUAAACAGAUUUUCAUCAUAGACAGCAUGGUAUCUGAGACAAACCUGCCCCUGUUGGUGCUGUACCAGGCAAACUCAGUGAAUGUAAGUGGGAAAUGUUUUGGGAGAACAAGAAAGCCCAAGUAUUGCAUUUAGGCAAAUCAUAAGUGCAUAGUGUGCCAGAGAAAACAAAUGUUUUUCCUGCACUGGCUCUGACACGUUCACACAUGAAUGUGUUUCAUUCAGAAAAAGUAAAGGCUCUAGAAUGGCACAGUCUGGUUUUAUGAGAAACAGAUGUGCCAUGGUUCACCCACUCCCUGACCACCUGUGGUUUGCCCAUGACUCAACUUUCUUGAAUGAGGGGAGUUAACUCUUGGAUUCUGAACAAACUCUAAAUUACAUAUUUAUUUUCUUCCUCCUCAUACUUCUUUUCACCACUCAUUGCCAUGAUAGAACCUUACAAUUCUGAGAAGUUUGAAUUCUCAACACCCCAAAACAUUUUCAUUUAAAGUUGAAUCCUUGCUAAAGGUGAAUCCUUGCUCUGAUAUUUAGAUUGAGAUUCUGUUAAAAGUUCAAAUAGAAUACCAAUUUAUCCAGCUAGUUAGAGUGAUUUUUGGUUUAUAUUUUAAAGCCACCUGGUUAUGAGGUAUCUUUACUUACUGCCUAUUUUGUUGGUUGAGGAUAGGAAUUAUUACCAGUCAGAAAUAUGCUUUUGAUGUCAUUGGUUAGUCACUUAAUUUUCAGCUACCUCUGUUUAUUGGAAUAAUGUGGAAAAAUUAAAAAAAAAUUUCUCAGACUUUAAUUCAGG